rnacentral:rRNA from 1 species
GUCAAAAUCCCUAGCGGCAGCCAAUCCCCAUCGGGCUGGCCACAUCUCUCUCUCCCUCACCCCUCCUUCUCCACCUCCGGCCGCUGCCGCGGCCAGCCCAUCGUGGCGGCGCGCCAACAGCACCCCCACCAUUACCUCGCGCCACCAGCUCCACUUCGCCGCCGCACCAUCCAUCCACCACACUACCAGCAUCCUCCAUCCACCGCCACAACUCGUGUGCCCGAUCUGACAGGCGUCUGGUCCUCCGUGCAACUCCACUCCUUCUCCAUCUCUCUCUGCUGCCUUUCUUCUCUUACCUCUACUGCUACCUGCUGUUUCGCCUCGCCUUCCUCAACCUUCUGCUGAUCCUCCCAUCUUCAACCUGCAAUUCUUCUACGUCCUUUGUCCCUUGUUGUUGUCCCUCUCCUCUUCACUUGCUGCGAUCUCUCUCUCCCACAUCUUUGCUGCUGCCCCUGUUGAACCCUCCACGCUGCUGCUGCUCCUUCUUCUUCUCCCCAAAACUGUUGCCGCUCCCACUUCCCACGUCCUUACUGCUGCUGUUCUUGCGCCCAUGUUGCUACUCCUCUCACGACACUGCAUGGCCUAGGCUGAAGCUUUUCUCUGAACUCAAACUACUGUUGUUUCUCUUCUCUCUUUCAUUCUUGCAAAUUUCUGAAAAGGUGAACCUUGUGUACUAUUCUGAACACCCAAUUUGUGCCCUUUUUUAUGUAUUCGUUUCUGCUAUAUAUGUGAAACUGCGAGUUGUUAAGCUGAUCAGUUUCGAGUAGACUUGUACUACCAUAUAUUGUGAGUCAUAUUAUUUAUAAAUUCGUGCUUGUGGUUAAUUCUAGUAACUGUGGUGUUGCAUAUUCGUGAUUGUGGUUAAUUCUAGUAUAUGUGGUGUUGCAUAUUCGUGAUUGUGGUUAAUUCUCUGAAUUUCCGUAAACAUUGAGAAGUGUAUGUGCUGUAAUGUUUAGAUCAGACUAGUACUUGAAGUUGCUAUUUGUUCAGUAUCGUACUUGUAAGAUAUAGUGCUUGUUAUGUGUGAUCAGUGCUAGCUUUGUCCCUUUGCAUAUAUGUUGGUGAUGUGAAGGUUCUUUCUCUCGUCACACAACUAUGUUUCUUCCCCCUGUUAUAUGUUAGCAAGUUAUAUAAAUGUUCAUGUCUUUUCAAUUCCCUUUUGUCAUUGAUGUUUGUCUAUGUUAGUGUUUUAAUUUCUCAAGCAUCACGAAAAUACCAAAAAGAUUGUUGAAGAUAAUCUGAACCUCCCGUUGCUUCUUUGCCAUUUCCUUUGUUGAUGAUCCUUGUUAGAGUUAGGUUUAUUUCUUGUCUUCAUCACGCAAUAUCGUGUUACCUAGCUUUAGCCGAGCGUAGCCGCUGAUCGCCUAGUCCCUGUGGAUAACACGACAUGCACAGUUUGGGCAUGAAAAACCCACUGUACUUACAAUGGAUCAUUUUGGCGCCGUUGCUGGGGACUAGCGUCGAGCGAUUUUGUUAGGCUAUAGACUAGGUUUUUCUUGUUUUUCCCUCUGUGCUAUAUAUAUGUGAUAUAUCCCUAACCCCUAACCCUUGUUCAAGUUAUUUUCUCUUUCUUUGCUUGGUCAUUCUGCAGGUUAUUGCAUCUUCUUAGAUAUGGCUUACUAUUCAGAUCACCAUGCUUAUGCGAGCAACACUACAAACAGCACAGAAAGUAUUCAAGACCUGAUAAGUAAGAUUUCCCAUCGAUUAGAUGAUUUAGCUUGGCAGCGAGAAGUAGUUUUUGAGGAUAGGCCUAGCUCUUAUGAUCCUUAUUCUAGAGGCCAUCCUUAUGUUGCUCCCACCUGCCAUAUUCGUGGAUUGCAGGGCCAUUCACCUGCUGAAUGUCAGCGUGGUUACUCUCACCCUCCCGAUUGUUAUGGCAUGAGCUUCGCCCCACAGCCUAGCUCACACCAAAACAAUUACUCAUAUGGGUGGCCUGAAAACCAGAAUAUGUCAUAUAGGAGCAACAACCUUGAGAUCUCAUCGUUUGCUUCUAGUAAUCAUAUGCAGGGAUUUAGGUAUGAAGAGGAGAGCAACAACUAUGCACCACAACAAUUUUAUUCACCUCCUACUCAUAUACCUCAACACCAGGAGAUGUGUCCAAUGGAGCUAAAUGGUCCUCCACUUGGUCAACCAACAACUCCAGCACAUGUUGAGCAAUCUCAUGCACAAGUGCCCACACAAGAUGACUUUGAUGAUAUAGACAAGCUCACAUUGCUUAGUCUCGAGUUCACUUGGAGUGUUGAAGAUGAUCCAAUUAGGCCGAUGAUACUAGAGGAAAUGAAGAAGAUCAAGAGUGGAAAGAGCUAGUGAAAGAAGUAAGGAAAAUUGAGAAGAAUAUCAAUGCCGGGUGCACUAUCUCAUCCCUCCUUGAGCUAAGUGUUGCUGGGAUAUCCCUUGUGGUGUGUGAGGUUUCAACACUGUCACAUUCAGCUGAGCAAGAUAGCGAGAGUCCAGAGGAAGAGACACUUCAGAUCCAAGAAGAAAUCCUUGAAGACAAUGAACAAGAUGAUCCUGACCUGCAUGUAACGACCACGAUGCGGCUAUAUCUCCCACGUGUCGAAGCACGACUUAGAGGCAUAACCGCAUUGUAAGCAAUGUCGCAAGAGGGGUAAUCAUUACACAUCCCAUGUACUGAAUAAGGAAAGGGGAACAUAGUUGGCUUACAAUCGCCACUUCACACAAUACAUGAUAAUAACAUUAUAACAACCAG